CCUACGGGAGUCAGCAGUGGGGAAUUUUGGACAAUGGGCGCAAGCCUGAUCCAGCCAUGCCGCGUGUGGGAAGAAGGCCUUCGGGUUGUAAACCACUUUUGUCAGGGAAGAAACGGUCUGAACUAAUACUUUGGACUAAUGACGGUACCUGAAGAAUAAGCACCGGCUAACUACGUGCCAGCAGCCGCGGUAAUACGUAGGGUGCAAGCGUUAAUCGGAAUUACUGGGCGUAAAGCGUGCGCAGGCGGCUUUGCAAGACAGAUGUGAAAUCCCCGGGCUCAACCUGGGAACUGCAUUUGUGACUGCAUGGCUAGAGUACGGUAGAGGGGGAUGGAAUUCCGCGUGUAGCAGUGAAAUGCGUAGAUAUGCGGAGGAACACCGGAUGGCGAAGGCAAUCCCCUGGACCUGUACUGACGCUCAUGCACGAAAGCGUGGGGAGCAAACAGGAUUAGAUACCCUGGUAGUCCACGCCCUAAACGAUGUCAACUGGUUNUUGGGAGGGUUUCUUCUCAGUACGAAGCUAACGCGUGAAGUUGACCGCCUGGGGAGUACGGCCGCAAGGUUGAAACUCAAAGGAUUGACGG
rnacentral:rRNA from 1 species